UUUCGUACGUCCUGACGUCCUGUGCACUGGUCUGGUUCACGAACGACUCGAACUGAAAUAAUCCCUUGAAUUCUUUGCUUGAUAAUAUACUUGAUCAGUCAUUCCGGGUUAGAUGUUGCUUCGAUAAAUUUGAUUAUUAAUAAUCAAAUUAAAUGUACUGGAAUCUUCUGGUCUUUGAUACUUGAUCUUCAGGCAAUCUUGAUAGCAGAAACAUAUUGAACUUUAUUCUUCACUGAGGCUUGAACAUGUUAAUGAACUUCUUCCAGUGGACGGAUGCUCGUCUCAGAUAUCUUGAUUGUCUUUGUCUGUUCGUAUCGAAUCUCCAACCUGUAGAUUCCUGUAUAAUACUUACGUAUUGUUUCCUGUCUUUUGUUGUGUUGAGUUAUCGUAAUUACAUUUACGUUACAUUAUGCUUUACAAUCUCCCCCUAUUUGAUUGUUAGAGUUCGACAAGCAAAUCCUUUAAGAGGAUAACUCAACUGACACAAUGAAAAAGCAUACUAAUUUAAACAGGAAAUAAUACUAAGUACAGUCUGGAUUAUAUCUUACAUUUUCCAGAAAUCAAAAGUAAAUACAAGCAGCCAUUGUUCCUCUAGCCUGAACUAAUCUUUCCUUGGUUUCUUGGCUCUUGCAUUAAUCAGCUUCUGCUCAGCUUUCCUCUUUGCAGCUUCCUCUACUCUCUUCUGAGUAAGCUUGUUUUCAAUCUCUUCAAUCCUUGCUGUAAUGGUACUCAGUGCCACUUGCUCCAGUGUAUUCUCAGGUGGAGGUUGCUCUAGAUUUUUCUUCAUCUUCUCUAAAGUUUGCAGGUGAACCAUCUUCUUCAACUUCUUAAAAGUGACAUUCAUCUCCAUUCCUUCAAUUUUCAUAAUGAUCCUUGAUGGAUGAGCACGAACUCUAGAAGUGUUGUGGACAGUCUCUACAGCUUUUCUUAUCUCCAGAAGAUCAAUCAAAUCUUUGAGCACACUCUUGUCUUCUUUUACCACUGACCACUUAACAGCUGCAACUGCACGAGUGAUUCUUUUGGAAUUGAGUUUUCCAAUCUCUGUGAGUGGUAUAGCAGUGACUUCAGAGUCUUUCUUCUUCUUGAAUAUUACAGAUGUAGGAUUGUAAGUAACAACAGGUGCAUUUGGAUUUUCAGGAAUUUCAGGGUUGAGUGGAGGCAGUGGAUAUGGUGGUUGACGAUUGAUGGCUGAUAAGUCUAAGUCUCUCAGAGCAGCAAAGUUCAGACGAUAAGCAUAUAACAAUUCAGCAGUUAGUCUUCCCUUGCUAGUCCUUGAGCACUUCUCCCUGACUUGAGCUUCCAGAUAUUUCAGUAUACGAGGAUUGUAUGUUGAUAAUGCUUCAUCAGUGAGUCCAAUACUCUGAAUCAUACCAUCCUUGAAAUACUUGAUAACUGAAGGCUUGUCAUGAAUUUCAACUCCAAUAUCAGAUAUCCAACCUUCCACCAUAUCUCUGAAUAUUUCAUUAUGCUUUCUGCCGGUUGAGAUGAUCUUGUUUCUUACCACAAACAGCUCAGUUAAAGAAAGAUCUCUGAGAAACUGACUUGACACAUGCUUGAGUCCAUGGCCUUCUCUCUGUAGCUCAAAUGAUAUGUUCACCAUCCAUCCUCUCCUGGGAAGAACAGCAACAGACACAGUAGAAAUGAUAUCAUUUAACACCUCGUGAUAAUCAUGUAAAUCCUUGUAGUUGUUCCUGAAGGAGUCAAAGAUAUCUUUUACUUCGUCAUCAUCAUUGUCUUGAGUGACCUCUGGAAAAUCAAACACAGAUCUAGCAGCAUCCCAUUCAGCUCCAUCUUUAUGUAAGUUGGCAAGUCUCCUUUCCCUUCGAAUCCGUCUUUGGUUUUCUAACUUCUCCCUUGCUCUCCUUUGCUCAGCAUAAUCCCUAGCAACAUUAGCAAUGUCUUGUGGAUUUGCAAUUUCAAACUCUUCAGCAGGAAAGAUGUCAUUGUGAUAUGCAAGUUCAUCAGCAAAGACUUCAGCGUCUGGGAUUUCUCCUUCUUCAAGAUCUUCAUUCUCAGCACCAACCAUCCUAAUCACCCUGUCAUCCACAAACUCAGGGAUGUAUUCAUCAUGACUGUAACUGAAUUGAUGCCUAAGAGCAGAAUCAAUCAGUUCUUCAGACACCCCUGUUAUCACCCUCUUUCCUUUUGCUUUUUCUGCUGCUCUCUCCCCCUCAGUUGAGUAAUCCUCUCUGGAAGGUUGAGAUGCCAGCAACUUAGCCUCCAGGGCAGCCAACCUUUGUUCCAUUGUUGAUUUGAUUUCUACCAACUCCUCCCGUAGAACAAGAUUCUCAGCUUCUAAGUGUUGAACUUUGAAUUUCAGAGCUUCAAAUUCUGUCACAGAUACAGUUGGAAUGGCAGAUUCAAUUGUAGGUUGGGAUGUGGGGUUCUCACUAGUACGUUCUGCAGGUGUUUCUCUCAUUUCACUCAAAGCUAGAACACUCAGUGGGUCAGAGGGUUUCUGUAUAACUAGUUCUGUAAGUGUUUCCCUCUCACUCAAAGAAGUUCCAGCAUCCUUAGAUGUACCUGCAAGUGAAAUCUUCUUAGCCUCUUCUAGAGAGGUCACAGAAGGUGCAAUGAAGGUUCGUAAGCCUUCGUCCUCGGUUUCCUCGUCAGAUGAAUCUGAGUCAUAAGAAACAAGUUGCCGACCACUUGAAAGUGGUGAGUCCUUUGAUGGAUCCUGAGUUGGAAUCUCAGGGUGGGUAGACACAGGGCUCGAAGGAUGUGAUCCUUGAAUUGGCGAAGCACCCUGGUUUCCCACAACUGCCUUUGACGGCGAAAGACUUUGUGACAAGUCCUCUAUAACUGGCACACUUCCUGAUACGAAGGGCUCAGAAACAGAUUGCCGUUCACCUUCGAGAGGUGAAGAGUCCUUUGAAGGAUCUGGGAAUGUUCCUCCCAGGGGGGUAGACAAGGAUGUAGAAUGUGGCAUUUCAUCCAAGUUUCCCCCAGAAGCCUGUGAAGGCACUUGACCCUGAAAAGGAUCAGAAACAACAGUGUCUAUCCCUGACAUGGACGACAAAGUGUUCGCAACCGUCAAUUCUUCAACUGUGUGUGCAACCUCACUGUGCAUUGGAAUAGUAUUUGGCUGAGGUGGUGAAGAAAUAGACAUAUCUGCAGUUGUCUCAGGUUCUAUUCUCCUUUCUUGACUAGGAGACAGAGCUGCAGUUUCAGAAACAAUCUCCUUAUGUGGUGCACUUAAGGCACUUUCUCCCUCUCUCUCAGAAAUAAGAAGUGGUUGGCUGAGGGGUAGAGUAGUUUCUGCUUCAGGUGUUUGUGAAGUGGUGCCUUGGUUAUGAAUUUGGGGGAUUUCAAAUUCAUUGGCACUUGUGAUAGGUGGUGAAAGCUGAUUGGAAUCCAAAAGAUUCUGAACCCAAUCAGGUGCAUCAAAGGACAAGUUGUCAGAGUCAGAAGGAAUACCUGACUGUAGCAGUGGAUUGUAAGUGUUAGAGAAAAGUUCAUCAACAUCCACCAUUACAUCAGCUGCAGUGGUUUGAAUAGGAGUAUUCACUUCAUCUUCAGAAUCAGUGGAGUUGUCUUGCAGUGAAUCCUCUCCUUCAGAUUGAGCAUUGUCAUCUGAGGAUGUCUGUGCAUCUUCCACUAUCACCUCUUCUUGAAUUUGAGAAGUUUGAGUCUCAGGAAUGUCAGCUUGAUGAGAUGACUCAGGAACUGCUGCACUUUGUGUUUCAGGGACCUCCUCUUCCUGAACCACAGGAUCAGCAACAUUUUGAAUGUGUGGUGGAGGCACGUUCUGGUUGUUUAAGAAUUCUUGCAUUGCCUCCGGAAGAACCACAUCCUCAUUGUUAGUGUAGUUCUGGUGACUCUCCAGCAUAGAUAUCACCCUUGUGGUCAUGAAGGAGCAUAUGACAUUGUCUAUAUUUGGAUAGACAGCUCUCUCAGCAGGAGUCAGCAUUUGAUUCAGAACAAUCUGAAAGAACCGAGGGUAGAGAAGUACAUUCCUGUUCUUUCUUAGAGAAUCCUGAAAAGCUCCCAUGAUUAAGUGUCCCAGAUUUAUCCUUGUGUUCUGUGCUAUUGCAAUUCCUAUUUCCUGGUUGAAGAUAGUGAUGCCAUGGAACCCUCCAGUCUUUGGUGCAAAUACAUGAGAAAUGGAAUUAAAGAAGAAAUUCCAUUCUCGAGGUAAAUGCUUGACGUACAUUUUGCUUGGAAGAUCACCAUUCUCCCUCUGGCAAUGAAUAGCAAAGAAGAAAUUUGUUCUUUCAGCCCUAUCUGGAACAGCUUCAAAGUCCUCUGUUGGAAGUUGCAGAGCAGUGUUCAGGGUAUUUUCAGUAAUUGAUAGUGUUCGUCCCUGAAUUUGACAAGUAAUACCAAGUACCUGUCCUGCAUUCACAACAGAAAUAGAAGACAAGAAAUCUCGUAGAAGAGAUUUGUUAAGAUAUACUGACUCUGUCAUAGCAAAUCUAGCAAAUGAAUAUUCUGACAUAUAUCUAACCCAACGUCGAUAAUUCGCUUGCGUAAUUAAAUUAUUAUUCUCAACAAUUGUGAAAUUUGUUUUCGGAAUCUCAAAAUUUGCAGCCAUUUUUAAUUAGAAUUAAAAAUGAUUAUAAAUUUCGUUUCACGAAUAAACACGAACAAAUAUUCACUUUAUGUCACGAAAAUAAUUAAUUAAUAACGCUCCGAAAAACCCUAAAUUCAAGAAUUUCAGAUUUUGAUGAAAUUACAGUAUGUUAUACUCCUUGAAAUUCUAAGAAUAAUGGUAUCGGAUUCGAAAAUUAUCGAUGCAAAAAUCACGUUCAAAACUAGCCUAGAAUAUGAAAAGCUUCGAAAACCCUCUUCGAAAAAUCGUAACGGAUCGUUGUGAAACAGGUAUGUAUUGAAAGCUCUAGACUUAAGGAAUCCAAAACUGGUCUCAGUUUGAAAAAUGGACAACAAAAAUGUGAGAUUUUGGUCGAUUAAACAAGAUGAGUCCAGGUUUUUGAAAGUGGCAGUUCGUCUGUGUGUAUGCGUAUGUAUAUGCGUUGAUGAAGUUUUGAAAAUAAUGAAAAGAAAAACUCUUAAGUCCAGUACAUAUACACAGAGUAUAACCGAGGCGCAACUUGGUUUAUUACCAAGUUGCCCUCCAUUAUGUAUACAGGGACGAGCGAUAGGCGCGACAAUUGAAUUGUCGAAACUGCCCCUCAUACAUGCACUGUAUGAGGCGCAAGUUUGGAGGACUUAGAAUAUUUCUAAGUCGGAAUAUACUCAGUCAACAGACAUAUACGCUCGAGGCGCAAACUUUGACUCGGUCAAAGUUUGCGCUUCAACAUACAGUGCAGCAGAACUUGAACUUGACUUAACCAAACAAAGAAUUAUAUAUACACACCUGUUGGUCAAGGGCGCAACAUUUGACUUGGUCAAAUGUUGCGCCUAUCAUCAGAUAUAUAUACAUACUUAGGCUAAAAUCAAGUGAAACUCUUUUAUAUAUCAAUUUUGUUAAAUGAACUUUGAUGAAAUUCAAAAUAAUCUAACAAAUUGAUAUCACAAUUAGAUUAAAUAAGUUUAACUAAAUUAAAAUUUAGUCAACAAAUAUUUAAUGAAUUGUGCUGCAAUUAUUUUAAUUAAGAUUUAAUUAAUGGUCAACUUAAAAUAAUUUGAAUUGCUCCAAAUCCAUUAAUCAAAUAUAAUUAAAAUAUGAAUUAAAUAAUCACUAAUAUUCAUUAAUUGAAUAUAAGCACUUAAAUAAUUCAAAAGAAUUAAUUCUAAAUAUCUACCACUUAGCAAUUAAUCACAUAAUCACAUAGAAUCAUGCAAAUCAUAUAAAUCAUGGCAAAUAAUUAAAACUAAUUAUCAGAAAAUUAUGUAUAAUACUGGAUGCACUUUGUAAAUUCACAAGUCCUGAAAAUAUGGACAUUUUAAAACUUGUGAACUUACGAACAAAUUGCAGUUAUUUCUUGUCUAAUUAAUUAGACAUAUUUAACAUCCCAAGUUCACCAACCAGUCUAGAGAAAGUGGAUUCGUCUAGUGGUUUAGUGAAGAUGUCUGCAAUUUGUUGAUCAGUAGGUACGAAGUGUAACUCUACUGUUCCAUUCAUGACAUGCUCGCGAAGGAAAUGAUACCUGAUAUCAAUAUGCUUUGUCCUGGAGUGUUGAACAGGAUUGUUGGCAAUGGCAAUGGCACUCGUGUUAUCACACAGAAUCGGAAUUUUAUCCAACAUGAGUUGUUAUCACACAGAAUCGGAAUUUUAUCCAACAUGAGUCCAUAAUCUUGUAGUUGACUCCUCAUCCACAAGAUUUGAGCACAGCAACUUCCAGCAGCUAUGUAUUCAGCUUCCGCUGUAGACGUAGACACGGAGUGUUGCUUCUUGCUAUACCAUGACACCAACCUUCGUCCAAGAAACUGACAGCUUCCUGAAGUACUUUUCCUAUCAAUCUUACAUCCUGCAAAGUCGGAAUCUGUAUAGCCAACUAGAUUAAAACCUGUAUCUUUAGGGUACCAAAUCCCUAGAUUGGGGGUUCCCUUAAGAUACCUAAAAAUACGCUUAACAGCUAUAAGAUGUGACUCUUUAGGAUCAGCCUGGAAUCUAGCACAUAAACAAGUUGCGAACAUGAUAUCUGGUCUACUAGCAGUUAAGUAUAAGAGAGAGCCAAUCAUACCUCGAUACUUAGUGAUGUCAACUGACUUACCAGAUUUGUCCUGAUCAAGUUUGACAGCAGUUGGCAUAGGGGUUUUGGCAGUAGAUGCUUCUUCCAUUCCAUAUUUCUUCAGAAGAUCCUUGAUGUAUUUAGAUUGGCAGAUAAAAAUACCGUCAGGCUUCUGAAUGACUUGAAGUCCUAGGAAGAAGGACAAUUCUCCCAUCAUGCUCAUCUCAUACUUGCUCUGCAUUAACUUAGCAAAUCUCUCGCACAAAAGAUCAUUAGUAGAACCAAAUAUAAUGUCAUCGACAUAUACUUGUACAAGAAUUAUAUCAUCCUUAUGCUUUUUAUGGAAAAGAGUUUUAUCGAUGAUACCUCUGGUGAAACCAUUUUCAAGUAAGAACUUGGAAAGAGUGUCAUACCAGGUUCGAGGGGCUUGCUUCAGGCCAUAGAGUGCUUUGAAGAGAAAGUAUACGAAGUCUUCAAAUUCUUUGUCUUCAAACCCAGGGGGUUGUUCAACAUAGACUUCCUCUUCCAGAUCACCAUUCAGGAAUGCACUUUUCACAUCCAUCUGAUAUACUUUGAAGUUGGAGUGUGCAGCAAAUGCUAAGAACAUCCUGAUUGCUUCAAGCCUAGCAACUGGAGCAUAGGUUUCAUCAUAAUCAAUUCCUUCUUCUUGUGAAUAACCCUUUGCAACCAGUCUUGCCUUAUUCCUCGUAACAAUACCAUCUUCAUCCAGUUUGUUUCUAAAAACCCAUCUAGUGCCAACUAUAGAUUUUCCUUUAGGUCUUGGCACCAGCUUCCAAACUUUCUGCCUUUCGAAUUGAUUGAGUUCUUCCUGCAUUGCAGAUACCCAAUCUGGAUCACUUAGAGCCUCUUCAACUUUCUUUGGUUCUGUCUGAGACAAGAAUCCAGCAAAGUUGCAUUCAUUCUGAGUUGCUCUUCUAGUCUGCACUCCUGUGUCUGGAUCACCAAUGAUUUGUUCAACAGGAUGGUCUCUACUCCAUACCCUUUGUCUUGGCAGAUUCAAUCUUGAUGAUUCACCAAAAUCAUAGUUGUGUUGAGUGUGAUGACUAGUGGAUCCACUUUGACUUACUCCCCCUGAGCUGAUGUAGAUUCUAUUUGAUGAUCCUCCACUUUGACCACUGUGACCAUGAUGAUCAUUUGUAUUGUUGCCAAUACUUCCUCCAGAUGGUUCAGGAUCAGCAUUCUCUUCAUUUGCAUUAGGAUUUCUUAUAUCAGCUUCAGGUUCAUCUUCUCCCAAGUAGAUGUCUUCUAAAUUCUCAAACUCCAGAGAAUCAGAUUCAUUUUCCUUUUGAAGACUUGGGAGUUUGGUAUCAUCAAAUCUUACAUUGAUGCUUUCAAUCAGCUUGUCGUCAUUGAUCAGAUAAACCCUGUAGGCCUUAGACUCCAAAGAAUAACCCAGAAAAAUUCCUUCUUCAGCUUUGGCAUCAAACUUUCCCAAAUGCUCUUCUUUUAACACAAAGCAUUUUGCACCAAACACAUGAUGCACUCCUGAAGUCUUGAUUGACUAAUCAUAGUCCUUGCUGCUUCAAUCAAGGUUCUGUUCUUCCUUUCUACGACACCAUUUUGUUGUGGAGUCCUUGGAGCUGAAUACUGACGAGAGAUGCCCUUAUCAGUACAGAAGUCAUUAAGAACAGCAUUACGAAAUUCUGUUCCAUUAUCUGAUCUGAUUGCCCUUACUGGCAGAUCUGCUUCCUUUUCAAUCUUCUUGAUAUGAUCAAUGAUGACGAGUGCUGCUUCAUCCUUUGAAUGUAAGAAUAAUACCCAUGUGUAUUUUGAGUAGUCAUCGACGAUCACAAGAGCAUAUCUUUUCCUUGAUAUAGAAGGAAUGUUGACUGGUCCAAACAGAUCCAUAUGAAUCAGUUGAAGGGGUGAACCAAUAUCAGUCAUGCCUUUGCUCCUGUGUGAUGCUUUCUUUGACUUCCCUUUUUCACAUGCAUCACAGAGUCCUUCUUGACAGAAUUCUUUCUGUGGCAAUCCUCUCACAAGUUCCCUUUUGACUAAAGAGUUCAUAGUCUUAAAGUUCAAGUGUGAGAGCUUCCGAUGCCAUAACCAACUAUCAUCAGCAGAGGCCUUGGUGUAGAAACACUUGACCUCCCCCUUACUUGCUGAGUCUAUGUCGGCUAUAAACAAACUUGAUUUUCUUACACCACGGAGUGUAAGAUCCUUGUUCUUCCGGUUCUGGAUUAAGCAAACUUCCUUCUGAAAGAUUACGUCGUAUCCUUUGUCACAGAACUGACUGAUACUCAGUAAGUUGUGCUUGAGUCCUUCCACCAGAGAGAUAUCUUCAAUGAUGACAUUUCCAACUUUCAGCUUACCAUAUCCCGUUGUAAAACCUUUGCUGUCAUCUCCAAAGAUUACAAUUGGGCCGGUUCUCAUCACCACAUCUGUGAGCAGGGACUUUUCUCCAGUCAUGUGUCUUGAACAACCACUAUCAAGAACCCACACAACUUUACUUUUCCUUCCUGUGCCCUGCAUUCACAAAUGGAUUAAACUUUCUUUGGUACCCAGACGUUCUUGGGUCCAGGUGAUUUAGUAGAAACAGGAUUAUCAACAGAAACUGGUUUAACAUGUGCUUGUUCAGGGGUGACUGGACUCUUCUCCUUUUUAGUCUUAGCAGAAGUGCUUUUAGACUUGGAGUAGGGAGUUUCGUUCUUCUUAGAAGGACUAGCAGUCUUUGCCACAGGGGCAACAGAAGGUGCAGGCAUAUUCAUAUUCAUGGUAGAUGGUGCAGAAAAAGAUGCAUUCAACAUGGUAAAACAUGCAGACAUCAUAUUCAUAGCACAUAGCAUGCAACCUACUCUACCACAUGGCAAAUGAACAGCAUUCAUGUUAACAGUAUUAGGCAUGCUAGAAACAGAAUUAUCUACUUUAAUCACUUUACAUGCAUGAGUAAGAUGAUUAGUAGAAUUGCAAUUAUUACAAACCUUUCUAGCAUUAGAAUUCCUAGAAUUGGUGUUCUUAGGAUCUAACUUGCCAUUCCUGUUGUUCUUCUUUUUGUUGGAACUAGUACUUCCUAAUCCAGUUUUAUCGGAGUCAUCUCUGACAUGGGAAUUAGAAGGUACAUCUUGUGAUUCCUGUUUUACUUGAGGCUUAACAACUUCCUCAUUUUUCAACUCUUCCUUGAUUACAAGAUCUUCUUCUAUCAGAGGUUCUGUUUGUGCCAUCCUAAAGAUAGGGGUCUUGGUGUUCUUUAGAAUUUUAGGUAUAUUUGUUCGUUCAGGAGCAUUCUCAGUUCCUGCUGAAACAAAUAUGCCUUCAUUUUCUUUUCUUUUCUUUCUUUUAGCUCUUUCCAAAGAACUAUAGUCAAGGCCAAUAGCAACCUUCUUAUCAACCCUUUGACUAUCCAAGAUUUCUUUCUGUAGAAAGGCAGAAUUCUGAUAGGCCCUAAGCUUAGUUUCUAGGUCAGCAAUUUGAGACCUAAGGGACUCCUCAAUUUCUGCACUACACUUCUCCUUAUUCUCUAGAUAUUCAAUUCUAUCUUUAAGGUUAGUGUUCAUGAGUUUCUCUAAAGCCAAUUCAUCUACUCUUUCUUCAAGUUUAGCUAUCUUUAGAGAAAGACUACAGUUAUCUGAUUCUGAAGCUAAUAAACUAGUGUGCAAGUUAUACAUCUCUUGACCUAGUUCAUUUAUAGUCUUUUUAUAAUCAGCAGUAGUCAUGUCAUCAACAGAAAUUUCAGGAGAUACCUGAGAUGGAGAUUCCUCGACAGUGUCAGCCAUUAAUGCAAAUGCAUAAUUGCUCUGGACAGGUUCAUCAUCAGAAUCUGUGUCAUCCCAGCUUUUUCCCUCAGCAAUGUAAGCCCUUCCUUUGUGCUUGGCCACCAUUGCUUCCAACUUAGCUUUUAGCUUCUCAUUCUCUUUCUUCAGAUCCUCAUAAGAAUUCUUCUUAUCAUAUGAGUUGCUUCUGACAGGAGCUGCUUUGGGUUUCCUGCACUCUGUUGCAAAGUGCCCUAAGUCAUUGCAGUUGUAGCAUCUGACCUUGCUCUUGUCAUACAUGUUUGGUUUGAAACUGCCAGUACUCUUUGACCCUGAGCCUGAGUAUCCUCCUUUACCCUGAAACUUGUUCCCUGAAGCUUUCUUGUACCGGGGGUUCUUCCUGAACUUGAUAUGCUUGAACCUUGCAGCCAUAUAAGCCAUUGACUUAUCUUCCAGCUGCUCCAGCUCUUCUUGAGUGUAGAACUCAUCCUCCGGUUCUUCAGAAACUUCAUCAACUUCAGCUUCUACAAUCUCAGUAAUGGUAGAAGGAUAGUCAGCUUUGAUGGAUGAACAAUCACUCUGAGCAACAGUGUGAUCAUUGAUACCAUAUUCAACUAAUUGUUGAUAACCAAAGUAUGGUUGAUCAGCAAUAAGUGCAGUGGUCUUCUGUAAGGCCAUACUCUUGGAUUCUGUUGAUCCACCACCAUAUAUGAUCUUUCUCUGUUCAAGUUCCAUCUCAAACGUCUUCAGUUUUCCAAACAGCUUUUCCAAAGUCAUAGUUCUGAAGUCGCUUCUUUCCCGGAUGGUCUCUGUCUUUACAACUAGAUGGGGUGGCAUCACAAAUGAGAACUUUCUGUUAAUCUCUUUCUGUGGAUAAGUCUUUCCAUGCAGGGUGAGUUCAUUCAACAACAACAUGAACCUCUCAUAGAUUUGAGAAAUGUUCUCUCCAGGUAUUGCCUGAAAUGCUUCAUAUCUGGCAAUUAGCAUAUCGUAUCUGUUUUCCCUGACUUCUUCAGAUCCCUCCAUCAAUGCCUCAAUAGUGUCCCACAUCUGCUUUGAAGUUUUCAGACUUAGUAUCAGAUGUGUCAUUGUCUUGGUCAUUGAUUCAACAAUUAUGAGUUGCAGAUUAUGAUCAUGUGCAACAUAUUCCUUAUCAGUGUCAGUGUAUUCACUUUUCUCUUUGGGAACAGACUUCUGUGGAAUACGAACACCAUUUUCAACAGAUUCAGGAAUAAUCUUCAUAGGCACAAAUGGACCAUUUUCCAGAAUCCCAAUGAACAUGGGAUUAGCAACUCUGAUGUACAGCAACAUCUUCAUCUUCCAGUUGUUGUAGUCAUCCUUGUCAAAUGGAGGUACUUUGAUUCCUAACUUGUGUGUCGACAUUGUUAUCAGAUAAAAUUACGAUUGUACGGACAGCUAGCUUUUCAGAUUGGUUACGGAUCUCAGAUCUGUAUAUCGAUCAGCUAAGCUCUGAUACCAAUUGUUAGGUCCAAUCAGACGUAGAAGGGGGGGGUUGAAUACGUCGUACCAAUUUCUUCGAUUUAAUUUAAUUGCGGAUAAUCUGUUUCAGUCCAUGUUAAAUCAAUCGUAAAUAAAUAACUCCAGCAAGUCGGGGAAUAUUCUUGUAUUAGAAAUAAUCCUCGGGUGCUACAAAUUCCAACACAAGUGUCGGCUGCAGAGACUACAAUCACUCUAUUACAAACUCUCGAUAAAUACGAUCUUCUAAUUGAACUCUCGAGAACGUGUAUAGUGUGUGCACUUACAAAGUGUGUAGUUGUUUUCAAGUGAAAACACAAAGCCCUAUUUAUAGACUUUCCAACAACUAACCAUGGUUAACGAGUUCGUCCAGGACGACUUAGAUUUACAAAAAUAAAUCUAACACAGAAUGUAUUAGGAGUGGCGCCACUUUCAUAUACAUAUAUGUGAGUAUAUAUAUAUAUAUCAAAGUUGCGCCCCAAAAUGCAUGUAUACACACCUGUGGUCAAACUUGGCGCCACUUAAGUCAAUGGUUGCGCCAUACAGGAGGAUGAGAGUGUACAUCUCCACUUAGCCACAAAACAGAGUUGAUUGUCAAGCGCAAGUUUUGACUAAGUCAAACCUUGCGCUUUGACAUAGUCAAACUUUGCGCCCCUUCAGGAAGUGAACCCCUGUGACUUAGAAACUUUUAAGUGAACUUGCGCUAGAUGAACUUUUGUAGUCGCAACCUUUGACUUGGUCAAAGGUUGCGCUCAAGAGCGGUUCCCCUGUGUCCCUGUAUCAUACUUAGAAAUUCUAGCACAUAAGUCUUGUGCAUUUGUAUGAAGCGCAAGCUUUGACUUUUCAUGGUCAAAGUUUGCGCCUAAAUGCAACUGAGUUCCCUGUGAUGUACUUAGACAUUUUUACAGGUCUUUCAUUUGUGCAAUAAUUAAAUAUACAUAUAUAUACAAUUAAUUGUGUUAAGUUAAUUACUUGAAUUAUUUAAAUUCAAAUAAUUCACAAUUAAUAUAUAUAUAUAUAUAUAUAUAUCUAAUUAAUAAUUUCCUUUGGCAAUAAAUCCAGGAGCAGCUCGAUUGACUUGAUCAAUUAAUUCGUUGAUCGAAUCCAUUGAAUACUUUCGUACGUCCUGACGUCCUGUGCACUGGUCUGGUUCACGAACGACUCGAACUGAAAUAAUCCCUUGAAUUCUUUGCUUGAUAAUAUACUUGAUCAGUCAUUCCGGGUUAGAUGUUGCUUCGAUAAAUUUGAUUAUUAAUAAUCAAAUUAAGUGUACUGGAAUCUUCUGGUCUUUGAUACUUGAUCUUCAGGCAAUCUUGAUAGCAGACACAUUGAACUUUAUUCUUCACUGAGGCUUGAACAUAUUAAUGAACUUCUUUCAGUGGACGGAUGCUUGUCUCAGAUAUCUUGAUUGUCUUUGUCUGUUCGUAUCGAAUCUCCAAC
rnacentral:lncRNA from 1 species